rnacentral:rRNA from 1 species
GACAGAGGCCCCGAGCGUUAGGCGGAAUCACUGGGCUUAAAGCGUGUGUAGGCGGAUCGUUAAGUGUCUUGUGAAAUCCCACGGGCUCACCCGUGGAACUGCUGGGCAUACUGGCGAUCUUGGGCCGUUCAGGGGCGACUGGAACAAGCGGUGGAGCGGUGAAAUGCGUUGAUAUCAUCAGGAACACCAGUGGCGAAAGCGGCUCACUGGGUCUUUCCUAACGCUGAGGCACGAAAGCUAGGGGAGCGAACGGG